UUAUACUGUCUCCUCUCUCCAAUCAGUGAAACUGAUCUCCCCGUGAAGAAGCGGGGAUUCAAUUAUAAGACGAGAAGACCCCAUGGAGCUUUAAACCCAAUUUGCACCCCUACCACCCCAAACAUCAACCAAACCUCAGGGACCUGUACAUUGGUUUUAGGUUGGGGGGACCACGGAGCAAAAUAAAACCUCCAUAACAAAUGGGCUAACACCCUUACCUGCGAUUUACAAAUCCAAGAAUCAUUAAAAUGAUGUUUAAUGACCCAAUAAGUUGAUCAAUGAACCAAGUUACCCUGGGGAUAACAGCGCAAUCCACUCCAAGAGCCCGUAUCGACAAGUGGGUUUACGACCUCGAUGUUGGAUCAGGGUAUCCCAGUGGUGCAGCCGCUACUAAGGGUUCGUUUGUUCAACGAUUAAAACCCUACGUGAUCUGAGUUCAGACCGG
rnacentral:rRNA from 1 species